GGGCAUAUGGUCUAGGGGUAUGAUAUCUGCUUCGCAUGCAGAGGGUCCCCGGUUCAAAUCCGGGUAUGUCCA
rnacentral:tRNA from 2 species